GAUGAACGCUGGCGGCGUGCCUAAUACAUGCAAGUCGAGCGAACAGACGAGGAGCUUGCUCCUCUGACGUUAGCGGCGGACGGGUGAGUAACACGUGGAUAACCUACCUAUAAGACUGGGAUAACUUCGGGAAACCGGAGCUAAUACCGGAUAAUAUAUUGAACCGCAUGGUCCAAUAGUGAAAGACGGUUUUGCUGUCACUUAUAGAUGGAUCCGCGCCGCAUUAGCUAGUUGGUAAGGUAACGGCUUACCAAGGCAACGAUGCGUAGCCGACCUGAGAGGGUGAUCGGCCACACUGGAACUGAGACGCGGUCCAGACUCCUACGGGAGGCAGCAGUAGGGAAUCGUCCGCAAUGGGCGAAAGCCUGACGGAGCAACGCAGCGUGAGUGAUGAAGGUCUUCGGAUCGUAAAACGCUGUUAUUAGGGAAGAACAAAUGUGUAAGUAACGAUGCACGUCUUGACGGUACCUAAACAGAAAGCCACGGCUAACUACGU
rnacentral:rRNA from 1 species